rnacentral:rRNA from 1 species
GAUGAACGCUGGCGGCGUGCCUAAUACAUGCAAGUCGAGCGAACAGAUGAGGAGCUUGCUCCUCUGACGUUAGCGGCGGACGGGUGAGUAACACGUGGAUAACCUACCUAUAAGACUGGGAUAACUUCGGGAAACCGGAGCUAAUACCGGAUAAUAUAUUGAACCGCAUUGUUCAAUAGUGAAAGACGGUUUUGCUGUCACUUAUAGAUGGAUCCGCGCCGCAUUAGCUAGUUGGUAAGGUAACGGCUUACCAAGGCAACGAUGCGUAGCCGACCUGAGAGGGUGAUCGGCCACACUGGAACUGAGACACGGUCCAGACUCCUAAGGGAGGCAGCAGUAGGGAAUCUUACGCAAUGGGCGAAAGCCUGACGGAGCAACGCCGCGUGAGUGAUGAAGGUCUUCGGAUCGUAAAAAUCUGUUAUGAGGGAAGAACAAAUGUGUAAGUAACUAUGCACGUCUUGACGGUACCGAAUCAGAAAGCCACGGCUAACUACGUG